GUCAGGAGUAGCAAAGGCCCAGAAAUGUCUUAGUGUAAACAGAAUCAAGGGAAUGGUGAGGGGUAUGGACCAGUUUCCAGCCAGGUUUCAGCUAGGACCUACAAAGUGAAAAGGACACCCUCCUGUAAUAUUUAGCUGGCGGGUUCAGAAUUUAUACCUUGUCUCAUCUUUGCUGUUCUCUCUUUAACAUAGUCAGAAGCCAUCCCUGCCCGUAGACACACACACUUACUCAGCCUUGUUGUGUUGGGCCAUCAGGAGGAACCACUCUCAACUCUAGCUCGACGUGAGCUCUCUUCCAGGAAGUAAUGGAGCUGGGGAGCUGGUACUUGAAGGAUGAGACUUCACCAGGCAGAUAAAGGAGAAAAGCAAUCCAGGCAGAGGCAACGGUGGGAGCUAAAACAUGAAAGAGGAACUCCAGAGGAUCACGAAGUGUGUCCCACUAUAAAUGUAUAAAUGUGUGUGUGUGAUCUCACCAUCGCCAUCACUGUGACGCUGCUGAGGCAGGUUCAGAAAAAACUUGAAUGUCAUGCUGGAGGGUGUGGUCU